AGAGUUUGAUCCUGGCUCAGGACGAACGCUGGCGGCGCGCCUAACACAUGCAAGUCGAACGAGCGAGAGAGAGCUUGCUUUCUCGAGCGAGUGGCGAACGGGUGAGUAACGCGUGAGCAAUCUGCCUUUAAGAGGGGGAUAACAGUCGGAAACGGCUGCUAAUACCGCAUAAAGCAUUGAAUUCGCAUGUUUUCGAUGCCAAAGGAGCAAUCCGCUUUUAGAUGAGCUCGCGUCUGAUUAGCCAGUUGGUGAGGUAACGGCCCACCAAGGCGACGAUGCAUAGCCGGCCUGAGAGGGCGGACGGCCACAUUGGGACUGAGACACGGCCCAAACUCCUACGGGAGGCAGCAGUGGGGAAUAUUGCACAAUGGGGGAAACCCUGAUGCAGCGACGCCGCGUGGAGGAAGAAGGUCUUCGGAUUGUAAACUCCUGUUGUUGGGGAAGAUAAUGACGGUACCCAACAAGGAAGUGACGGCUAACUACGUGCCAGCAGCCGCGGUAAAACGUAGGUCACAAGCGUUGUCCGGAAUUACUGGGUGUAAAGGGAGCGCAGGCGGGAAGACAAGUUGGAAGUGAAAUCUAUGGGCUCAACCCAUAAACUGCUUUCAAAACUGUUUUUCUUGAGUAGUGCAGAGGUAGGCGGAAUUCCCGGUGUAGCGGUGGAAUGCGUAGAUAUCGGGAGGAACACCAGUGGCGAAGGCGGCCUACUGGGCACCAACUGACGCUGAGGCUCGAAAGUGUGGGUAGCAAGCAGAAUUAGAUACCCUGGUAGUCCACACCGUAAACGAUGAUUACUAGGGGUGGAGGGAUUGACCCCUUCAGUGCCGCAGUUAACACAAUAAGUAAUCCACCUGGGGAGUACGACCGCAAGGUUGAAACUCAAAGGAAUUGACGGGGGCCCGCACAAGCAGUGGAGUAUGUGGUUUAAUUCGACGCAACGCGAAGAACCUUACCAAGUCUUGACAUCCCUUGACAGGCAUAGAAAUAUGUAAUCUCUUCGGAGCAAGGAGACAGGUGGUGCAUGGUUGUCGUCAGCUCGUGUCGUGAGAUGUUGGGUUAAGUCCCGCAACGAGCGCAACCCUUAUCAUUAGUUGCUACGCAAGAGCACUCUAAUGAGACUGCCGUUGAUAAAACGGAGGAAGGUGGGGAUGACGUCAAAUCAUCAUGCCCCUUAUGACCUGGGCUACACACGUACUACAAUGGUGAUCAAACAGAGGGAAGCAACACAGCGAUGUGAAGCAGAACCCGAAAAAUCAUCUCAGUUCAGAUUGCAGGCUGCAACUCGCCUGCAUGAAGUCGGAAUUGCUAGUAAUCGCGGAUCAGCAUGCCGCGGUGAAUACGUUCCUGGGCCUUGUACACACAGGCCGUCA
rnacentral:rRNA from 1 species